CUUUUAGUAGCUAUUUAGCUUAUAUUUAGGGGUGAAAUGCAGAAAAAAAUGUAACCAAGAAAAAAUUGUAUGUUAAGCACCAAAUGGAUAAUACAGACUAUAGUCAAAUAUCUAAUGACUGAAUGAGACAAACUGAGAUGUAAACCAUUACUUAUCCCAUUUCAGAGAAACCAAAAUCGUGAUGGAGAGGCACACACAAUCAAAUCAUUAACAGGGGAAGUGAAAGCUACAGCAUUAGGAAAUGUGAAGCUUAUCAGGAGAAUAAAUAUGUAUGUGAAAUCUUAUACUGGAUUUUCCUGUUCCUCUUUCAUAAAAGAUGCCAGUUUUCAACAUUGACCUUGGGCAAGAUCAAAGCUCACCUGGGCUAAGUCAGCACACACUUGCUAAUCCUUAAGUAAAAAGAUACACUUGUGAACAGUAACACUCAGCCAAGCUCACAGACUCCACACACAAUCAG
rnacentral:lncRNA from 1 species